CCCCGCGUGCGGCUGCCGGCUCGGGCUCGGCCGUGCUGUUCCACAUCGAGUCCUUGACCGUCCUGUUCCACAUCCUCGACUACCUCGACCGAUGGCAGACGGUUCAGUUUUCAGAUGUUCAAAUUCCAAUCUGUUUAUCUACAGGCUGCAGAGACAACAACGCUUCUGUGGUCACAGGCUCAAAAUUACCGCCUGUUUUGAAGUUGACUACGUGCUUCAGCCAACAUGUGUUUGUUUGUUCUUUCUCUUAACAGAUUGCCAAGAUAAAUUCAAGAUGCAUGGAUGUUGAUUGCAAGGUCAAGAAUGGCUGUUUUACCAGAUAAUUAGAAUGCCGUUUUCAAGUGUAAUGUUUCAAACAAUAUAGUUGAUUGAAUGGUCAAGAAUUUGGCUAGUACUAGAUGGUUUCACAUAUGUAAUAUUUGUAUCGUGUUCUUUGUAAUGCAAUACAUUCUUUUUAAUAUAUUAUGAGGAUUCCUGCU